rnacentral:rRNA from 1 species
GAUGAACGCUGGCGGCGUGCUUAAUGCAUGCAAGUCGAACGAGAACCUUUUUGUAGGUAACUACAGAGAGACUUCUAGUGGCGAACGGGUGAGUAACACGUGAGAAACCUGCCCCGAAGACCCGGGAUAGCCCAUGGAAACGUGGAUUAAUACCGGAUACCCUCACGGAAUCGCAUGGUUCUGUGAGGAAAUGCUCCGGCGCUUUGGGAUGGUCUCGCGGCCUAUCAGCUUGUUGGUGAGGUAACGGCUCACCAAGGCACUGACGGGUAGCUGGUCUGAGAGGACGAUCAGCCACACUGGGACUGAGACACGGCCCAGACUCCUACGGGAGGCAGCAGCAGGGAAUAUUGCACAAUGGGCGCAAGCCUGAUGCAGCGACGCCGCGUGAGGGAUGAAGGCUUUCGGGUUGUAAACCUCUUACAGUGGGGAAGAAGCGCAAGUGACGGUACCCACACAAGAAGGCCCGGCCAACUACGUG